rnacentral:rRNA from 1 species
UACGUAGGGCGCAAGCGUUAUCCGGAAUUAUUGGGCGUAAAGAGCUCGUAGGCGGUUUGUCGCGUCGGGAGUGAAAACCUUGGGCUUAACUCAGGGCUUGCUUUCGAUACGGGCAGACUAGAGGUAUGCAGGGGAGAACGGAAUUCCUGGUGUAGCGGUGAAAUGCGCAGAUAUCAGGAGGAACACCGGUGGCGAAGGCGGAUCUCUGGGCCGUAACUGACGCUGAGGAGCGAAAGCAUGGGGAGCGAACAGG